ACAUGUAUUCAAAUGCCAAUGCAGAGGAAGGUACUGGCUCAACAUCUGCUGCUGGUGUUGAUGACAUGGUUGUUUCUGUGCAAGAAGAGAACAUUGAGGAUAUGCUUGAGUCGAGGAAGAAAAGGCGAAGAAUGAAUGUUCACAAUACUCAUCCAAAGUCAGAGCUUGAAAGGUAUUUGCUUGAUGACUGUGAAGCAUCUACCAAGGAGUUUGAUAUUCUAGCAUGGUGGCAGGCUAAUAGUACCAAGUAUAAGGUACUAUCACUAAUGGCAAAGGAUAUUUUAG